GCAGGUGUAGUUUAAUGGUAAAAUUCGAGCUUCCCAAGCUUGCGUCGAGGGUUCGAUUCCCUUCACCUGCUCCA
rnacentral:tRNA from 3 species